ACUUCUGGAGUAGCAACUAAAGGCAAUGAACUUUCAAUAUUAGCCUUUGAGGUUGCUAAUACGAUUGUUAAGGGUUCAAAUCUUAUGCAAUCCCUUUCUAGAAGAAACAUAAGACAUUUAAAAGAGGUGGUGCUGGCCACCAAUGGUGUUCAAAAUUUAGUAUCUAAAGAUAUGGAUGAACUCUUACGGAUUGUUGCAGCUGACAAAAGGGAAGAAUUGAAAAAUUUUUCGGGAGAAGUAAUUCGUUUUGGAAACCGUUCAAAGGAUCGUCAAUGGCAUAGCUUGGAACGUUAAUUUGAGAAAAUCAGCAGAGAACUUUCGCCUCAGAAACAAUUGAAGGAAGAAGCAGAAUUAGUGAUUGAGCAGUUGAUGACUUCAGUUCAAUAUACAGCUGAACAAUACCAAGAAUUGCAGAUUCUGGACAAGUUUGAGCAAGAUUACUUGCGUAAGCGUCAAGAGGAAGAUAAUUCUGCUGGCACUCAGAAAGGUGACUUCUACAUCUC